GCCGGUGACAACCGGAGGAAGGUGGGGAGUGACGUCAAGUCCUCAUGGCCCUUAUGGUAGGGCUUCACACGUCAUACAAUGGUCGGUACAGAGGGUUGCCAAGCCGCGAGGCGGAGCCAAUCCCACAAAGCCGAUCGUAGUCCGGAUUGUUCUCUGCAACUCGAGAGCAUGAAGUCGGAAUCGCUAGUAAUCGCAGGUCAGCAUACUGCGGUGAAUACGUUCCCGGGUCUU
rnacentral:rRNA from 1 species